GGGGGCGACACGGCAUUCGACGUGGAUUACAAAACCUGAGGUGCAUGUCGAGGAACAGAUUACCUCGUAAAUCCAGCUGUAAACUUAUAGUUGCCAACGACGACAACUACGCACUCGCUGCUUAAUACCCAGUAGGGUGCCGUCUGAGCGGAGCCGUGCUUAUGCGUCCGUAGCUCUUUGAGCCCAUCAGGCGUCGAUUCUCAUGAGAUCGCGUUGCGGUUUGUUCAGGGCCAAUGCGUUAAAACUUUACUGAAAUCGCUGUUUGUAGGCCCUGUCGGUCGGGUUGCAGGCAGUUAAAUUUAAUAGAUUGACUAAACAUGUAGGACCAAAGGCAGAGGAUUUGCGGACGCGGGUUCAACUCCCGCCGCCUCCACCA
rnacentral:tmRNA from 1 species